rnacentral:rRNA from 1 species
GGGUCAGUAGGUUGGUCGUGCCACCGGUACGUACUGGUCUCACUGAUUCCCCCCUCCUGAAGAACCGUAAUGCCAUUAAUUUGGUGUUGCGGGGAAACAGGACUGUUACUUUGAAAAAAUUAGAGUGUUUAAAGCAAGCUAACGCUUGAAUACAUUAGCAUGGAAUAAUGAAAUAGGACGAUCGAUCCUAUUUUGUUGGUUUCUAGGAUUGACGUA